rnacentral:rRNA from 1 species
GGGUUUGAUCCUGGCUCAGGAUGAACGCUAGCGGCGUGCCUAAUGCAUGCAAGUCGAACGGGAUCCUUUGAUUCGUCGAAGGUGAUAGUGGCGCACGGGUGAGUAACACGUUGGUGACCUACCCCAGAGAGGGGGAUAACCAGUGGAAACGCUGGCUAAUACCCCGGAUGUCAAGACAUUUAGAAAGUCUUGACUAAAGCUCCGGCGCUCUGGGAGGGGCCUGCGGUCCAUCAGCUUGUUGGUAGGGUAACGGCCUACCAAGGCGAAGACGGAUAGGGGGCGUGAGAGCGUGACCCCCCACACUGGUACUGACACACGGACCAGAUACCUGCGGGUAGCAGCAGCAAGGAAUAUUGCGCAAUGGACGAAAGUCUGACGCAGCAACGCCGCGUGGAGGACGAAGGCCUUCGGGUCGUAAACUCCUUUACUGGGGGAAGAGAAAGGACGGUACCCCAGCAACAAGAUCCGGCUAACUACGUGCCAGCAGCCGCGGUAAAACGUAGGGAUCGAGCGUUAUCCGGAUUUACUGGGCGUAAAGCGCGUGCAGGCGGUUUUCUAAGUCGGACGUGAAAGCUCCUGGCUCAACUGGGAGAGGCCGUUCGAAACUGGAAGACUUGAGGAUGGUAGAGGUAAGUGGAAUUCCCGGUGUAGUGGUGAAAUGCGUAGAUAUCGGGAGGAACACCAGUGGCGAAGGCGGCUUACUGGGCCAUUCCUGACGCUGAGACGCGAAAGCUAGGGGAGAGAACGGGAUUAGAAACCCCGGUAUUCCUAGCCGUAAACGAUGUCAACUAGGUGUAGGGGGUAUCCAACCCCCCUGUGCUGUAGCUAACGCGUUAAGUUGACCGCCUGGGGACUACGGCCGCAAGGCUAAAACUCAAAGGAAUUGACGGGGACCCGCACAAGCAGCGGAGCGUGUGGUUUAAUUCGAGCUACGCGAAGAACCUUACCAGGGUUUGACAUAUACGUGGUAGGAAGCUGAAAAGUGACUGACCCUUCGGGGAGCGUAUACAGGUGCUGCAUGGCUGUCGUCAGCUCGUGUCGUGAGAUGUUAGGUUAAGUCCUGUAACGAGCGCAACCCUCGUCGUUAGUUAUACGUGUCUAACGAGACUGCCGGUGAUAAGCCGGAGGAAGGUGGGGAUGACGUCAAGUCAGCAUGGCCUUUAUAUCCUGGGCUACACACACGCUACAAUGGCCGGUACAAUGGGUUGCCAAGCCGCGAGGCGGAGCCAAUCCUCCAAAGCCGGUCUCAGUUCGGAUUGUAGGCUGCAACUCGCCUGCAUGAAGUCGGAGUUGCUAGUAAACGCGCGUCAGCAACAGUGCGUUGAAUACGUUCCCGGGUCUUGUACACACCGCCCGUCACGUCAUGGAAGUUGGCAACGCCUGAAGUCAGUGAGCUAACCUUACGGAGGCAGCUGCCCAAGGCGGGGUCGGUAACUGGGACGAAGUCGUAACAAGGUA